CGCACAUUGCGCCCUUUGGCAUUCCGAAGGGCAUGCCUGUUCGAGCGUCAUUAUCAACCCUCAAGCUUAGCUUGGUGUUGGGCUACGGUAGUUAUUCACCGGCCCCAAAGGCAACGACGGUGUCCCUGGGACCCCUGGUACAAUGAGCUUUUUACAAGGCACGUACUAUGGUGGGCUCGGGACGCAGUCUCAUUAUUCAUUUCUUAGGUUGACCUCGGAUCAGGUAGGGAUACCCGCUGAACUUAA
rnacentral:misc_RNA from 1 species